AGCAGCCGCGGUAAUUCCAGCUCCAAUAGCGUAUAUUAAAGUUGUUGCAGUUAAAAAGCUCGUAGUUGAAUUUCGGGGUUAGUAGGUUGGUCAUGCCUCUGGUAUGUACUGGUCUCACUGAUUCCUCCUUCCUGAUGAACCUUAAUGCCAUUAAUUUGGUGUUUUGGGAAUUUGGACUGUUACUUUGAAAAAUUAGAGUGUUUAAAGCAAGCUAACGCUUGAAUACAUUAGCAUGGAAUAAUGAAAUAGGACGUUCGAUCCUAUUUUGUUAGUUUCUAGGAUUGACGUAAUGAUUAAUAGGGAUAGUUGGGGGCAUUAGUAUUCAAUUGUCAGAGGUGAAAUUCUUGGAUUUAUUGAAGACUAACUACUGCGAAAGCAUUUGCCAAGGAUGUUUUCAUUAAUCAAGAACGAGAGUUAGGGGAUCGAAGACGAUCAGAUACCGUUGUAGUC
rnacentral:rRNA from 1 species